rnacentral:rRNA from 1 species
CCUACGGGAGACAGCAGUGAGGAAUAUUGGUCAAUGGACGGAAGUCUGAACCAGCCAUGCCGCGUGCAGGAAGACGGCUCUAUGAGUUGUAAACUGCUUUUGUAAAAGGGUAAACCGGAAUACGUGUAUGCAGCUGAAAGUACGGGACGAAAAAGGAUAGGCUAACUCCGUGCCAGCAGCCGCGGUAAUACGGAGGAUCCAAGCGUUAUCCGGAUUUAUUGGGUUUAAAGGGUGCGUAGGCGGUUUGAUCAGUUAGAGGUGAAAUUCCCGAGCUUAACUCGGGAAAUGCCUCUAAUACUGUUGAUCUAGAGCGUAGCUGCGGUAGGCGGAAUGUCUGGUGUAGCGCUGAAAUGCUU